ACCGGCUCGGACAAGACGCAUGAUCGAAUCGUCUGGGGACCGCCGGGCGCCGACCGUGAAGCACGCAAGCAGCGUCAUGAUCCACUGCUCAAGAAACCCAUCACCUCGGAGCUAGGCAAUAUCUCGCCCGUCAUCGUCGUGCCCGGCCCGUACACCGAGCAGGAGCU
rnacentral:misc_RNA from 1 species